AAUAUCUUUUCAAUAGGGACUUCAUGACGCUUACACCACGCGACUGUGAUUCGAGGAUCAAGGUAGUUGAUCUUUGACGUGCCCAAGGCUACAGUUUUCAAAUCCUCUUUAGUCUUCAUAUCUCGCUCUAUCUUCUCAAUCUUUGCAUUCGUUUGGGAUAUUUUCUUCUCUAACGCUUCAGGGGUCAAAUUCCUCUUUCGCUUUCCAUCAGCAUCUUUUAAAGGGGGCUUCCCUUUCUUUGCUCUAUCUAAAUCAAUUUUCAGCUCUUUCAGAAUGUCCCUGAGCUCAGAGAUCUUCUCAUUCAAUCUUGUCAUUUGCGCCCCAUGCGAUUUUGAAACAGUCCGCUGGUGAUUACAAAUAAUUGCAACCUCCUUGUUUGCGUGCUG
rnacentral:misc_RNA from 1 species